rnacentral:lncRNA from 1 species
GUGACUCUUUCAGCCCACGUGACCACUGAGCAUCACUCAUAAUUACAGAGUUAUCCUUUCGUUGGGAGGUAAAGGGUUGAGCUGAAGAGGCCUGAAGUAUUCAAGCUAGAAGCGCUUAAUCUUUGCUCUGAUGAGCCACGUUGGUAUAAUUAUGUAUUUACAGGAUCUCCUUUUUAAGUGCUAGUAAUUACAUGGUUAUCCGUGCCAUAUAGCUACAGUGAGGGCAAAUAUCCUACUGUUUAAGAGGUCUAGAUUCAAAGAGGACAAUCCUUACAAUCAUUACAAGGGCUUAUUCCACCCCAAUCCUAUCAGGGGCAUGACUGACUGCCGGACCCGGGUCCCUACAACGCCAUUCGAGUCCUACCAUUGGAUAACUAUGUCAGGGUUGGUGACUUAAAAGUGCUCUGUGGUUUUGCUGUGCCUUCACCAGCAAACCGUCCUAGGGCCUGAACAGAGAUAAGGGAAAGGGAAAAGGCUCAUCCCACUGUCUUCAGGUCAAUCACCUCGGCCUCACACCUGAGGCCAACUUCACUUUGUAAGACAAGUUGUUGUUGUUGUUGUUGUUGUUGUUGUUGUUGUUCUUUUUGUUUUUUUAACUCUUCCCAGGGAAAAUUCAGGUCACCACUAAAGUAGGCCAAGGCAGACCACCUGCUUCUCCACUCGGUCUCACCACAGAGCCUGUGAAAGCACAAAGCUAGGGGCCAGGUCCUGCCUUCUCCAAGCAGGGAAAGGAGCCAAAUCCUAAGAGUGUGGGGAAUGGUGCUAUUAUGUGGUAAUUCUGACCCCGGGUCCCUUGGGAAGAUCAGUGUUAGAACAGAACUUGCAAAGCAGGGGAGCUCUCAAGCGGCAUCAACGUCAUUGCCUCUCUGCAGAUAAAAUGUUACAGUAUAAUAUACACGUGUGUGCACACACACACACACACACACACAAUCAUCAGAGAGUCACAGCUCCACACCUGCCACGGGAUGUCGUGUGCUGGACACCGGGGCCCAUUCUGUUGAGAGGUCACCUUACUGAUGCUAAGGGCUAUUGAUUUUUGUUUGUUUGUUUGUUUGUUUGUUUUUGUUUGGGGGAGGGAGUUUCUGAAGACAGGAAAGAGUCAGUUGAGUCCAAAUGCCAUAUGGAUUUGAAAAGCUGUGUAGACCACAGGCAGGCGUUUUGUUUCUGGCAUGGCCACAUACCAGAUACAAGAGCUUAGAAAGACCCAGGAAGGCAUCACCCUCUUGUGGCAGAGAGGGAGCCGCAGGGGAAGGGGGGCGGGGAGGGGGACAGCUUAUCAAGCCUUCCCCCUUAACUUUGUUAAUAGGGCAAAUGGCUGACGGAAAGAGAAGGUGGGUGGAAGGAAAGAGUACACGUCAAGACUUGAGGAGAAGGAACAUAUAGCCACCUAGAGGUUCUGUUUUCAGUGAGUAGGCCUAGUUGAACUUCAACAACCAAAGCUCCAUCCGCUUGUACUCUUGCCAAAACACAACAGACACAUACAUGAACAUGGGACGAAAGCAAUAAUAUCCUCUCGUGUUCUUCACAGCUGCUGGAACCAAGUGGCUGGUUCAUUUGGUUGACACUGAUCCGCCUUUAACCACGAUGGUUCGUUUUGUGUUUGUUUGUUUUUUUAAUUUCACAGAAAGCAAAUAAAAUUGUUUAGCU